GGAAAGGAAGCUCUAUUGUUUCCAAGAACCCUGUCUGGGGGAGUCAGAAGGUUAGACAUUUCUUCCUCUGAUGUCCACUCACUGUGAUUGUCUCAGGAAGUAGAGAAGUCCUUGAGGUAGCUACCAGGACACUUCACGGAUCUUUGUAAUGUCAUUCACAGAUGCCCCUACCCUGGGUGACUCUUCCUAACAUGUUCCUCCAAUUCUCCCAGGAAGGCAUGCGGUAGUCAUGUAGGGAGAACCUUCUGAGCUACAGCAAG
rnacentral:lncRNA from 1 species